CCCUUCUAAACUCCACACCCGCCUCUUCUGCUGACAUGCUGAACACCUGUGUGAGAGAUGGUGCUUUUGAAAACAGGUACCAGAAUAGUUUCGGCCAAUGUUUUGCGGCCCCACUGAAGAGCCUGUGCCUUUCAAGAAACUCCAGAGAAAUUGAUUCUGAUCCCCAUCCUGCUAAGCCUCAGUACAGUGCAAUGUACUUUAACUCCAAGAGCCGCGACUGACAAGCCUUGGUUGCUGCCACUUGCUGCCUUUCGUCUGGGUCCAAUGUUUCCAGUCAGCCAGCUUGAAUUAAUUUACCAUUGGAAAGGAGGAGGCCCCAUUCCUGCAGAUAUAUCUCUCUUCUAAAGUGAAGCAGCAAUCACCUACUGAUAAUGGAGAAAGAGAGGCUGGGAUCCUGCAGCUGUGAGACCACGCAGAAAUGAUAGAAAUUUUGCUGUGAUAACACUGUCCUUCAAAGACUAACUUCAGACCCGUACACCAUGGAGAGUAUAGGGAAGAUUUGGUAAUCCAAAACUUUAGUUAUCAAUACAGUCAGUUAAUAAGCUGUCCCCAUUAUUUCUUUGCAUGUAAUCCUUCUGUUCUCUUGGGCUUAGGCAUCUCUUUUCACUUAGAAUCCACAAUCUAGAAAACACUUUUUGUAAAUUAUUCUCAAAUUUAUUUCUGAAGGAAGAAUGAAAAUCUGUUCUGUAUCUAACUGCCUUCUGCUUAGGCUGCCUGUCCAGCAGGUGAGCAAAUUUUCUCCUAAACCUGAAGAGUGGUGGAAUCAGAAGACUACAAGCUGUCCUGGAAAGUAGGAAUUCAGCCCCUUUUUACUCAUGUGGAAGCUGUGCCAGCCUGCAGGGUGGAAAAAAUCGUUAAUCGGUAAACCCAAGAGAGAUCAUCAGAAGGUAUGUGACAAUUUACUAGCUUAGUGGUUGUCAUCUGUCUGGAAUGGAGAAUAGCUGUCUCUGAUUCCUAUAUCCCAAGCUAUGUCAGCAUCUUAGUUUAAAUAGUAGUUGAAGUAAUAUAUUUAGCGUUGAGAGCAGGAACUGAAAACUAGAACUUUCAGUACUGCUGGUCCUGGACGACAAUUUAUCACUGUGUUUCCAAUACUUGUUUUUUCUCAGACUGUAUACAUCUAACAUUCACUGUUGCAAAGACACUGUCUCAAAAGCAGAAACAGAGAAUAUCCUCCCCCGGCCUGAUUUCUUGCACAACACUAUCUGUGGUCUGACCACAGGCACCAAAUCAAACUUUCAGGGUUUUAGAUCCAGGGAAAACUUAUUUGUGAAUCCCAAAUCAUAUGUGGAAUAAUCAAAAAGGUGUGUAGCAAAGUAUAUCAGUGUUUUUGGCAGUGCUCAAUUAUGGAAUAAUUUUAGUCAUCAUUUUCGCUUUGCUAGUAAAAAUACAGGUGUGUGUUGACUUCUGGUUGCUUAAACACAUAGAAGAUUAGUUACUGUUUUUACAUUUCUGCUGGUUUUACUGCCUUGAACUUCAAUAUCUACAUGCUAUAUAAUUCACAAUUUACCGUCUGUUUUUUUCCCCCCUCUGUUGGGAAACUCAGUCCUUAGCAAAAUGAGAUGCAUGUGGAAACAUUCAAAGGCCAAAAUUCAGACAAGAACUUUGAAGGGGAGAGCUAAGGACUGCAGCAUUUCAGGUUCCAGGAUAAAGCACAGUUAUUACAGUUUUUGAAAAGUUUCAGUUUUGGAUUCAAACACUUAAAUUCCAUUUCACUCUCACAUUAGGCAUCUAAGUCUUGCAUUUUACUUUUCUUUUAAACAGAAGUUUUUUUAACAAGUAUUUUCAUUCAAGUUUUCAAUCCAAAUUCCUACUAUUGCAACUACCUGUGAAAUUGAACAAGUUAAAUAACAGUGUAAAGACACUCCCAAGGAAUGAAAAAUCCCUUCUUAGACAAAAUCUCAGAAUGUCAUAACCAAGGCUAGAUCCAAAAAAUGUGUUAAUAUUUAUAAUUCUUGGGGCACAAAGAAAUUAUACCUUCCAAAUUGUCUCAGCUGCUAUUUUGUAGACUUUUGAGUCUUCAUAGUAAAGGCUACCUUGCCUGGAUUAACAGGACUGAAGGAGAAAAUAGAUCUUAUCCUUUAUUUUCAGUGUUCAUGGACAUAAGACUGGUGGCUUCAGUGGUGGGAUUACUUACUGUAGUGACAAUUUUCCUCUCUCAGAUUUUCCUUACUGAAGGCUGAGCUCAUCUUGCUUCUUUUCUUCAUCGGGGUGGAAAGUGAACAAAACAGCAAGAAAACAAGCACAACCCUUCGUCCCCCAUUAAGAAUCCGGAGUUAAGUGCACUAUCUCCAGAGAUCAAGAAUUUAACUAUUGGCUAAAUUAGGUAUCUUGUCUCCUUACCCUGAUAAUUUUUUCUCUCUUAAGAAGAAAAAGUUGCUUUUCUUAAGUGAUGCAAGUGUUUGUUGUUAUGUUUUUUUUUUUUUUUUUUUUAAUUUUAAAUUAGUAUUAAGUUAAGAUACCUACAUAUUAAGAAAAGAGUUUUGAUUAUUGGUAUCUUAAUAGUGAGCCUACUGAAUCCACACACUGCACACUUAAUGAUUUUCAGUGUGCUUGAAAAUUGUUUAGGAAUGGUUAUCUUGUCCAGUUGAGAAAAGACUAGAAUGCAUUCCCCACACAACUAGAUGUGUUGUCCUUCUGCAGGCAAACUCUGCUAUGCAAAAUAUAAGGAAUAUUAAGGUAUAAGCAUAAGGAAUGAUAAUGAACAAAUGGUGAAAAGGGGUCUCUGGGCCUUUAUAUUCUCUGUUUAACCUUAAGGUGACAAAAUUAGUAUUUGUGUCAUUUAUUCAUUGAGAUUAGGUUUGUUUUUCAGUUUUAUAAAUAUCAUCUAAGGAAGUACAGUUUAUAAGGACAACAACCGUUUGUUUUUUUUGUUACUGCUUGUGGAAAAAUCAGAACGGCUAUGAAAUGUGAGAAAUAAUUAGUAGCCUAUCAAAUGAAAACAACCCCCCCAAAAAAGUAACUGAACCAGCAGUUCAGAGCUCCACUUAAAAAAAA